UGAAUUUGACGUAGGGAGCUUGGGAGAGAGAACUUGGGUGAACUGCUCUGUAGGUAGUGAUGCGGUAGGCUGAGCACAGUGGCUCAUGCCUGGAAUCCCAGCACUCUGGAAGGCUGAGGGAGGCGGAUUGCUUGAGCCCAGGAGUUCAAGACCAGCCUGGGCAACAUGGUGAAACCCCAUCUCUACAAAAAAAAAAAAAAAAAAAAAAAUGCCGUUCACUCAAAUGGAGAAAGCUAGGCUGGGGAGGGUCUGCUUUAUUUGUUCAUGAUUGCAGGCUCCUUGGGCGGGUCUGUUGCAGACAUGCUAAGUCUGUGUACCUCUUCACUGUCCUGUCAAGUGGACAUCACAUGUGAGUGGAAUUCCAGAGAAUGAUGAGGGCUGGGGCUGCAGCUUUGAGAGUCCGUGGUACAUUGUUGAUACCUAAAACCGUUGCACUGGAGAUGGCCUUGGAGAGAAGGUGGAUGGGGAGAGGACAAGUCCUGGGAUGUGCCAGUGUUGAGCAGUUGAACUGAGAAGGCCAGCCAGGGAAAGAGAAGGAGAACCAGAUACAUGUGAUGCCAAGAGAUGCGUUUCUGCAAAGAGGGAGCAGAGGGAAUACUGCAGGUGGAUUCAGAACAGGGGAGUGACCAUUGGAUUUGGCAGUGUGACUGUUCAUGCUGACUUUUGCAGGGCCAUUUUGGGGAAGCCUGAGAGGAGAUGUGAGUGUGGAGGUAAACAGCACAGAGACCGUGAAACUGUGGAGUUGCAGUGAGAGGAGCACAGAAGCAGGAAUUGGGGGAGCUGUGAGGUCAGUCAGAGUCUUUCCAAAUGGGUGUCAGAGCCUGCUUGUUUCCUGUGGAAAAGGCUCACACGGGAGGGAGACAGUGCUGGAGGAGCAGCAGGGUGGGUCUGCAGGGUGAGGGCUUGAGCCAG
rnacentral:lncRNA from 1 species